UCCGGCUUGAGAAAGUCCAGAGGCCAGUUUCCGGCUGCGCCAUUGCUGCCUGGGUCCCGGGACCUCGACUUCCAGAGCCGGGGGCGGGGGGCGGGACGGCGCCGGGGUUUCCGCCAGCGGCAGGCCAGCCGGGAAACAGUCCCCCUGCCCUGCGGGAGCCAGGUGAUGGAGGGCCCCGGUGGGUGAGGAUUGAGGUCCCUGGAAACUCAGACCAAAGAGCGUCGGCAGGAAAAGAGUUGGUCCCCACGGUCAAGGAACUGAAAGAUUAGCUCUGGUUUGGUUGGUGACUGAAUUUUGUGAUUGCUUGCAUUGAACUGCACUGUUUGACUACUCCAGCAAGUGUUGCAAGACUUCUUCAUUGUUGUAUGACAAAUACAGAAAGUUUUUAUUCUUGAAAGACUAUAGAAUGUUCUCUUUGAGGAACAAGCUGUAACAUGUAUAACUAGUUUAGGUAUAACAACGUUAACUGUUGUUUACCAGGGAACAGGCUUUUGGCAAAUAAUCUAAAAUAAUGUUCGUUGGGCAUAUGUUAAUGUUUGCAUGUUGUAUUAGCAGCAGUUGUUUCCCUACUCAUUCUUGUUUAAAGACUUGGAUGAUGGUUUCAAAGCUUGGCCUGCUGGAUCUAGCCUGUACCUGUAGUAGCCAGAAAAAAAAAAUGGACUCAGUCACUGGAUUGCGUGUACUCAACACUUUACUUGCUGGAGGUAAUAAUAUAUGAACUUUUAAAACUUGCCCAAAUAGUAAUUCCAGGAGGGGAUCAGAAUUUAUUUUAACGUCCUUUAUUACAAAGCUAAGGUGAAGAGACAGUAUUCCCAAUUACUACCUCUCCAAUAGUUGGCUCUGUUGCAUCCCUCAUUAAACACAUAGAAGUCUUGGGCCAGAAGAUCUUGCACAUAAGGAGGAAACACUGUAUGUAGCUCUUUGGCUCUAGUGUUAGAUCAUCCUUUCACAGUCAGAUAUUAACUGAGCUAGCUUCCAGUUCCAGAGCAGGCUGCAAGUUCAGGAAUAAGAUGGAGUUGCAACUGCUGAGCUGCUUAUUGCAACCUGCAUUGCCUUAAUGAGAGGUGGUGCCAAGAUUUGUUCUUUCUACAGUGAAAGUCUUACAGUUUGUGAGUUGAGAUUCACUUGUCCCUGCUGAUCUGUAUACUUUAAGUCACUCUGAGCCUGUUUCCUUUUCUGUUUGUGGAAAGUGUACUAGGUUAUCUCUGGUGUUUUUUCAGCAUCGAAGUUUUGUCAGUUGGACUGGAUUUGGCCAUUUUUCUGAUGUAUGCUUUUUUGUCUUUUAAAUAUGUUUUAUUGAUUAUGCUAUUACAAUUAUCCCAUUUUACCCCCUUUAUUUCCCUCCGCCCUGCAUCCUCCCACCCACACUCCCCUCCUUUAAUUCAUGUCCAUGG